rnacentral:rRNA from 1 species
UACAGAGGGCUCAAGCGUUGUUCGGAUUCAUUGGGCGUAAAGGGCGCGUAGGCGGCGCGGUAAGUCGGAUGUGAAAUCUCGGGGCUUAACUCCGAAACUGCAUUCGAUACUGCCGUGCUUGAGGACUGGAGAGGAGACUGGAAUUUACGGUGUAGCGGUGAAAUGCGUAGAUAUCGUAAGGAAGACCAGUGGCGAAGGCGAGUCUCUGGACAGUUCCUGACGCUGAGGCACGAAGGCCAGGGGAGCAAACGGG